UUUCUUUUGUAAAUUGCUCAGUCUCGGGUACGUCUUUAUCAGCAGCGUGAAAACUAACUAAUACAAACUCCCAACCUUCUCUUUGUUCUUCAGGCAUACCCAAGAACACUCCAUCUGUGUGUAUGCCCCAAAUUGCAAUUCUAUGAUUCCCAAAUAAAACAUUUCACUUACAGAUUCAUUUCUCUCUCUCUCUCUCUCAUACGUAUUUCACAUAUAUUUGAGACAGGGUCUUGCUCUGUUGCCUCAGGCUGGAGUGCAGUGGCGCAAUCACAGCUCAAUGCAGCCUUGAACUCCUGGACUCAAGCAAUUCUUCUGCCUCAACCUGCCAAGUAGUUGGGACUACACAUGUGCCAUCACACUCAGCUUUUGUCUGUGAUCCAUGUGGAAACCAUUCUUCUGUGUAUAGUGUAAGGGAAACCACCUUUGCUUUGACAUAUGUGUGUAAACGGUAUUGUCUGUCGAACGUUGCCUCGUGAGUCAUAAAAAGAAACAUCCCAGCCUCUUUGUUAAGAGAAGUGCUGUCAAACUAUUUACAUUCUUACGAACAGACACAAGUCUACACAAAAUGACAAGCGCACAUUUCGGUGGCAACAGAUCAGCUGCUUCAGAAAUUUAUCUGGCUUGGGGAAGAGAUAUUAUUAACAAAAGCAAAUAUGGAACCACUCUGAGGAAUUACCAGCAGCUGAUGUAAAUUUUCACCUCAGAAACAGACCAGGUCCAGGGAGAAAAAAACUAGAGAGGUUUUGAUUCUCCUCCCACCGUCUGCCUUUCUUUUCCAAAGAAUAGAGAGCCUGCCCCAACUGGAAAAUCAGGUAGCUUCUCCCACACAGGAAGGGAUCUGCUGCCUGAGGCAGAAAGGGCUGCUUGGGUGCCUCUGUCCCCAGUGCCCCUUCAUUUCUGUCUUCCUACAUCCUCUUGAGAUUACAUGUUGAUUACAUUAUAUUCUAUUGUAUCGUACUACAUAAUACAGCAACACUGAAAGAAUGAAAGGAAACGGGAAAGGGAGUGAAUUGGCCUUUGCACCCUGAGGAUAGGAAGAGGGUGGUGGAUACUGGGACAGCCUGGUGGACCCAGCCCUCCCAGGGUUAUUAGAUGACAUUUGUCACGUACCAUUCCUGGCAGCAGCGGCAGGUCAGGGUGACCAGGAUCACCUAGGAAUGCAUGUACUUCUGACAGUCAUGAAACCAAGGCAUGAGAGCAAGAGAUAGUUUUGGGGUCUGGUAUCCAAAAAUUCAAAUUAGUAAAUUUCAUGUUAUGUGUAUUUUAUCACAAUUAAAAAAAAAAACUCAAACUUUAAACAUUCAGAGAUUUGUUUAAGGGGUAUAUGGCUCUGGUAUCCAUAAUGCUGUAAAAAGGGAAAUCUUUUAGUCCCUGAGGUGGACAGCAGCAAGUCCUAAGUCCUCCAAUCUGAUAAGCAUAGUGGGACAGAGGACUCCUCACUUGAGGACAUCUAGGUCGAAAACAAACAAAAAAAAUCACAAAACUUAUGAAAAUAUUCUAUAAUGUAG
rnacentral:lncRNA from 1 species